UGUCUUUAAGAUUAGUUUUUAAAGUCCAAUCUGCCCACUGAUUUUUUGAAGGGCUGCAGUAUAAUGACUGUACAAAGGUAGCAUAAUCAAUAGUUUCUUAAUUGGGAACUGGAAUGAAUGAUUAGACGAGAAAUAAUCUUUCUUUAUAAUAAUAUAUUGAAUUUAAAAUUUAAGUGAAAAUGCUUAAAUUAUUUUAAAAGACGAGAAGACCCUAUAGAUUUUUAUUUUUUUUGAAAAAAAAAUUUUUCGAAGAAAAAUUUAAUUGGGGCGAUUUUGUGAUAUAAAAAUCUCAAUGUUAAAUUAACCAUAAAUAAUUGAAUUUUUUGAUCCAAAAGUUUUGAUAAACAGAUUAAAUUACCUUAGGGAUAACAGCGUAAUUUUAUUUAAGAGUUCAUAUCUAUAAUAAAGAUUGCGACCUCGAUGUUGAAUUAAGAGCUUCAUUGGAGUAGAAAUUAAUGUUAAGUAGUCUGUUCGACUAUUAAAUUCUUACGUGAUC
rnacentral:rRNA from 1 species